CAGUGGGGAAUAUUGCACAAUGGGCGGAAGCCUGAUGCAGCGACGCCGCGUGAGGGAUGACGGCCUUCGGGUUGUAAACCUCUUUCAGCUCCGACGAAGCGAAAGUGACGGUAGGGGCAGAAGAAGCGCCGGCCAACUACGUGCCAGCAGCCGCGGUAAGACGUAGGGCGCGAGCGUUGUCCGGAAUUAUUGGGCGUAAAGAGCUCGUAGGCGGCUUGUCGCGUCGACUGUGAAAACCCGUGGCUCAACCAUGUGGUCUGCAGUCGAUACGGGCAGGCUAGAAUUCGGUAGGGGAGACUGGAAUUCCUGGUGUAGCGGUGAAAUGCGCAGAUAUCAGGAGGAACACCGGUGGCGAAGGCGGGUCUCUGGGCCGAUAUUGACGCUGAGGAGCGAAAGCGUGGGGAGCGAACAGGAUUAGA
rnacentral:rRNA from 1 species